GUGGGUUUCCUUCCACGGGAUCCGGGCCGUAGCUAACGCAUUAAGUACCCCGCCUGGGGAGUACGGCCGCAAGGCUAAAACUCAAAGGAAUUGACGGGGGCCCGCACAAGCGGCGGAGCAUGUGGAUUAAUUCGAUGCAACGCAAAGAACCUUACCUGGGUUUGACAUACACCGGAAAGCCGUAAAGAUACGGCCCCCCUUGUGGUCGGUGUACAGGUGGUGCAUGGCUGUCGUCAGCUCGUGUCGUGAAAUGUUGGGUUAAGCCCCGCAACGAGCGCAACCCUUAUCUUAUGUUGCCAGCGCGUAAUGGCGGGGACUCGUGAGAGACUGCCGGGGUCAACUCGGAGGAAGGGGGGGACGACGUCAAGUCAUCAUGCCCCUUAUGUCCAGGGCUUCACACAUGCUACAAUGGCCGGUACAGAGGGCGGCGAUACCGCGAGGGGGAGCAAAUCCCUUAAAGCCGGUCUCAGUUCGGAUGGGGGUCUGCACCCUCCACCCCGGGGAAGUGGGAUUCCCCUAGAAAAUCCCCAAAAUCAAAAAACGGCUGGGGGGGAAAUACCUUCCCGGGCCUGGUACCCCCCCCCCGCCACGAUAUGGAAAAGUGGGUUACACCCCAAAACCGGGGGGCCUCACCCUUCGGGGAAGGAACCCGUCCAAGGGGGGAAUUUGGGAGGAUUGGGAACA
rnacentral:rRNA from 1 species